rnacentral:rRNA from 1 species
UUGAACGCUGGCGGCAUGCUUUACACAUGCAAGUCGAACGGCAGCGGGGGCUUCGGCCUGCCGGCGAGUGGCGAACGGGUGAGUAAUGCAUCGGAACGUACCCAGUCGUGGGGGAUAACUACGCGAAAGCGUAGCUAAUACCGCAUACGCCCUGAGGGGGAAAGCGGGGGACCUUCGGGCCUCGCGCGAUUGGAGCGGCUGAUGUCGGAUUAGCUAGUUGGUGGGGUAAAGGCCCACCAAGGCGACGAUCUGUAGCGGGUCUGAGAGGAUGAUCCGCCACACUGGGACUGAGACACGGCCCAGACUCCUACGGGAGGCAGCAGUGGGGAAUUUUGGACAAUGGGCGCAAGCCUGAUCCAGCCAUGCCGCGUGCAGGAAGAAGGCCUUCGGGUUGUAAACUGCUUUCGGACGGAAAGAAAUCGCCGCUUCUAAUACGAGCGGUGGAUGACGGUACCGUAAGAAGAAGCACCGGCUAACUACGU